UACGGGGGGGGGUAAGCGUUGUUCGGAAUUACUGGGCGUAAAGGGCUCGUAGGCGGCCAACUAAGUCAUACGUGAAAUCCCUCAGCUUAACUGGGGAACUGCGUGUGAUACUGGAUGGCUUGGAUUUGGGAGAGGGAUGCGGAAUUCCAGGUGUAGCGGUGAAAUGCGUAGAUAUCUGGAGGAAUACCGGUGGCGAAGGCGGCAUCCUGGACCGGCAUUGACGCUGAGGAGCGAAAAGCUAGGGGAGCAAACGGGGAU
rnacentral:rRNA from 1 species